CCUACGGGAGGCAGCAGUGGGGAAUUUUGGACAAUGGGGGCAACCCUGAUCCAGCCAUGCCGCGUGAGUGAAGAAGGCCUUCGGGUUGUAAAGCUCUUUCGGCCGGAACGAAAUCGCGCACGUGAAUAACGUGCGUGGAUGACGGUACCGGAGUAAGAAGCACCGGCUAACUACGUGCCAGCAGCCGCGGUAAUACGUAGGGUGCGAGCGUUAAUCGGAAUUACUGGGCGUAAAGCGUGCGCAGGCGGUUCGCUAAGUCAGACGUGAAAGCCCCGGGCUUAACCUGGGAACGGCGUUUGAAACUGGCGGGCUCGAGUACGGCAGAGGGGGGUGGAAUUCCACGUGUAGCAGUGAAAUGCGUAGAUAUGUGGAGGAACACCGAUGGCGAAGGCAGCCCCCUGGGCCGAUACUGACGCUCAUGCACGAAAGCGUGGGGAGCAAACAGGAUUAGAUACCCUGGUAGUCCACGCCCUAAACUAUGUCAACUAGUUGUCGGGGAAGCAAUUCCUUGGUAACGCAGCUACGACGUGUAGUAGACCGCCGUGGGAGGUACGGUCGCGAGAUAAACUACAAGAGUAGUAGCGNGNGAGAGCGACGACGACGACGAGGAGGAGG
rnacentral:rRNA from 1 species